CACCAUCGCUCGUCAUCUCCUUCUUCACUCUCUCUGUUUCUCUCCACCACAAGACCACCCUAUUCAACCUCCAUUAAUACGCCUGAAUAUUCACCACUCAUGGUAUCAAUUCCACCAACGACCAUCAUUGACAGGCACAUCCUCCAAAUCACGGUCUCAACUUCCAUUUAAAAUACCAAUAGUAACCUCCAUUCCACUUUUCACAUUCAUCACCAUUUUUCAUGGUGAAACUUCUUUCAAUAUAAUAUUCAAAACGCAUAUAAACACAACACACUCAUAAUUCAAAGGACUUCUCAACAAGAUAGUUCAUAAUUGACAUAUACAAUCAUAUAGCUGAAAGAAAAGUCACCGAAAUUCAAU
rnacentral:lncRNA from 1 species